rnacentral:rRNA from 1 species
UACGGGGGGGGCAAGCGUUGUUCGGAAUUACUGGGCGUAAAGGGUGCGUAGGCGGCUUUCUAAGUUGGAUGUGAAAACUCUGGGCUCAACCCAGAGCCUGCAUCCAAAACUGGAGAGCUAGGGUUCUGGAGGGGAAAGCGGAAUUCCUGGUGUAGCGGUGAAAUGCGUAGAUAUCAGGAGGAACACCGGUGGCGAAGGCGGCUUUCUGGACAGAUACCGACGCUGAGGCACGAAAGCUAGGGGAGCAAACAGG